AACUUGGCAGAGAUGCCUUGGUGCCUUCGGGAACGCUGAGACAGGUGCUGCAUGGCUGUCGUCAGCUCGUGUUGUGAAAUGUUGGGUUAAGUCCCGNAACGAGCGCAACCCUUAUCCUUUGUUGCCAGCGAUUCGGUCGGGAACUCAAAGGAGACUGCCGGUGAUAAACCGGAGGAAGGUGGGGAUGACGUCAAGUCAUCAUGGCCCUUACGAGUAGGGCUACACACGUGCUACAAUGGCGCAUACAAAGAGAAGCGACCUCGCGAGAGCAAGCGGACCUCAUAAAGUGCGUCGUAGUCCGGAUCGGAGUCUGCAACUCGACUCCGUGAAGUCGGAAUCGCUAGUAAUCGUGGAUCAGAAUGCCACGGUGAAUACGUUCCCGGGCCUUGUACACACCGCCCGUCACACCAUGGGAGUGGGUUGCAAAAGAAGUAGGUAGCUUAACCUUCGGGAGGGCGCUUACCACUUUGUGAUUCAUGACUGGGGUGAAGUCGUAACAAGGUAGGCGUAGCGAG
rnacentral:rRNA from 1 species